AUUGAACGCUGGCGGCAGGCUUAACACAUGCAAGUCGAGCGGAGAUGAGGUGCUUGCACCUUAUCUUAGCGGCGGACGGGUGAGUAAUGCUUAGGAAUCUGCCUAUUAGUGGGGGACAACAUUCCGAAAGGAAUGCUAAUACCGCAUACGUCCUACGGGAGAAAGCAGGGGAUCUUCGGACCUUGCGCUAAUAGAUGAGCCUAAGUCGGAUUAGCUAGUUGGUGGGGUAAAGGCCUACCAAGGCGACGAUCUGUAGUGGGUCUGAGAGGAUGAUCCGCCACACUGGGACUGAGACACGGCCCAGACUCCUACGGGAGGCAGCAGUGGGGAAUAUUGGACAAUGGGGGGAACCCUGAUCCAGCCAUGCCGCGUGUGUGAAGAAGGCCUUAUGGUUGUGAAGCACUUUAAGCGAGGAGGAGGCUACUGAGACUAAUACUCUUGGAUAGUGGACGUUACUCGCAGAAUAAGCACCGGCUAACUCUGUGCCAGCCGCCGCGGUAAGAC
rnacentral:rRNA from 1 species